rnacentral:antisense_RNA from 1 species
CAUUACGACUAGCAUUUUGGCCUUGUCCAUAUUGGUUAUGAGACCAUCCAUGGUAUCCAUUAUUACCAAUACCAUUACCAAUGCCAUUACCAAUACCAUUGCCAUUACCGUUACCAUUACCAUUACCGUUACCAUUACCAUUACCAUUAAAAUAACUAUUAUUAUAAUUAUUAUUAUUACUAACAAAGCCAUUAAAGUGAUUGUUAUUUUGGUGAGUUUUUUUUGAUGAAGAUUGAUAAUUUUGAAAUCUACCAACAUCUAUCAUUCCCAUUCCUGAUCUUCUUGUUCCAUCAAAAUUCGAAAAGUUACCUUCUUUGUUAUUAUAUCCAAUUAAGUUUUUUGUAUGAUUAAUAUUAUUAUUACCAUUUAAUCUACCAUUUGAAAAAGCACCUCCUAAUCUUCCAGAAUAAAAUUCAUUUUCUCUUGUUUGAACAUAUCCUCCUCCUAAAAGACGAUUCUGCAUAGAAUUGUGUUUACGUUGUUGUGAAGAUACAUCCAUAACACUCUUAUCUAAGUUCUUGAAAGAUUUCUGUCCUAAACCUGAAAAAGAAGAAACAUCCAUACCUGAUGAAGAAGAUUUCAUUACUCUAGUAUUCAUAUUACUAGCUCUGAAUUCUCCUCUUAUUCCUCCCAUUCUUACUUCUCCUUCUUCUUCCUCUCCUACUCCUACCCCUAAUCCUGCUCUUCUCCCUUCCUCCUCCAUUGUCCCAUUAAAACCGGAACCAUGACCAGGACCAGGGCCAAGACCAAGACCAAUAUCAAAACCAAAUCCAAGCCGACUAAACUCCGCUUCUUGUCCUUGUAACAAACUAUAUGACAUCUUCCGAACUACAUUAUUGGAAUUCAAAGAUCUCGAGUAGUUAUUAUUACAGCUUACUGGAAGUGGAGGCGGACUUGGUAUACCACUACUGCCACUAAUGCUAUUAUUACUACUACUACCAACUCCACCACCAAUACCAACGCCACCAACAUUAACACCACUACCACCACUACUACCACCACCAACAUCACCACCACCACUGCUCUCAAAGCCACCCAUCUCCACC